UGCAGGAAGUUUGCCUCCAUCUCUGUUGUUUUCUAACUUUGAACAGAAACUGAUGAUGUCAAACGUCAGCUGCAGGUUUUCUGAGAGCAAAGCUGAACUUCUGUAUUUACAGGAUAAUAUCUGAGACAAAAUCAGUGAUUGCUCCACAAAGCACCAGGUUCACCAAACUCUAACUUUCAACUCUGAGUUUCCAGUUUCACAGAAACGCAUGUAGGUGACAGGACAGAAUCACCAUGGCAACGGGUAAACAACGAGCAGAGCUUCAGGGAACUGAGGAAGAUGAAGAUGAUCAAUGUGGGGCAUGGAGUGUAUCUUUAAAAUUCAUCAUCAUCAUCAUCACUCAGUCACCAUCUGGCCAACUUGUAGAUUAUAGAUAAAACUGCAGUUCUGCCAAAUUUCACAUCUGAGUUUUAAAUCCAAUGAUUCAGCUUCACGGAGAUGAAGAGCAGGUGGACAAAACUGGAGAUAAUAAUAUGAAUCAAACAGAUGAGACCCAGUUUACUGACAGACCUGUGAGAUAAAUGUCAGUCUCAUCUUCACUAAGAUAUUCAGAUCAUCUCCACCUCUGAUUAUUUUCCAUCCCUGUAACUGAUCACAGCCCCGUAAACGAUUGAUCCCUGAUCAGCGUGUGCUCCGUGUUUAGAUUUCUCCUUCUGUGUGAAUGUUCACUGCAGUGCGUCUCCUGUUUCCUCUCCUGCUGCUGUUUGUGGCUCCAAAACAAACUGACAGUAUUUGGUAGUGAAAUGGCGCCACCUCGUGUCUCUAUGCGAUGCAUUUCACUGACGUCACAGCCAGUUAAAGUUAAUCCUUCCUGUCUUUGUUACAGGUGAUGAGGCUGUCAUUGAAGGCCUCGGGACAGAUCUGAUGGCUGCAGUCUGUUCUGUUAUCUCCUAGAUGCAAGGUGCAUCUGAAACAGACAGGAGACUGUAAGGUGGAGUCAGGGGAGAGUGUAGGUGGUCAGGUGGAAGCUGAAGAAGGAGGAGACAGUCUCUGGGUGGUAGAGUACCAGAUGACUGAAGUGCUGAGGACAGCAAACCUGUCACUUAACUAAGUUUAAGGUAACAGCAGGUACUCACUGGAUUCCUCGUACUGUUGACACACACACAGCUGGAUCAGCAACAACUGCGAUCGGUGCUUCACUUUGUUCUCACCUG